rnacentral:rRNA from 1 species
AGACCCGAAACCCGGUGAUCUAGCCAUGGGCAGGUUGAAGGUUGGGUAACACUAACUGGAGGACCGAACCGACUAAUGUUGAAAAAUUAGCGGAUGACCUGUGGCUGGGGGUGAAAGGCCAAUCAAACCGGGAGAUAGCUGGUUCUCCCCGAAAGCUAUUUAGGUAGCGCCUCGUGAAUUCAUCUCCGGGGGUAGAGCACUGUUUCGGCUAGGGGGCCAUCCCGGCUUACCAACCCGAUGCAAACUGCGAAUACCGGAGAAUGUUAUCACGGGAGACACACGGCGGGUGCUAACGUCCGUCGUGAAGAGGGAAACAACCCAGACCGCCAGCUAAGGUCCCAAAGUCAUGGUUAAGUGGGAAACGAUGUGGGAAGGCCCAGACAGCCAGGAUGUUGGCUUAGAAGCAGCCAUCAUUUAAAGAAAGCGUAAUAGCUCACUGGUCGAGUCGGCCUGCGCGGAAGAUGUAACGGGGCUAAACCAUGCACCGAAGCUGCGGCAGCGACGCUUAUGCGUUGUUGGGUAGGGGAGCGUUCUGUAAGCCUGCGAAGGUGGCCUGUGAGGGUUGCUGGAGGUAUCAGAAGUGCGAAUGCUGACAUAAGUAACGAUAAAGCGGGUGAAAAGCCCGCUCGCCGGAAGACCAAGGGUUCCUGUCCAACGUUAAUCGGGGCAGGGUGAGUCGACCCCUAAGGCGAGGCCGAAAGGCGUAGUCGAUGGGAAACGGGUUAAUAUUCCCGUACUUGGUGUUACUGCGAAGGGGGGACGGAGAAGGCUAUGUUGGCCGGGCGACGGUUGUCCCGGUUUAAGCGUGUAGGUGUGUGUUCCAGGUAAAUCCGGUUCACUUUAACACUGAGGCGUGACGACGAGGCACUACGGUGCUGAAGCAACAAAUGCCCUGCUUCCAGGAAAAGCCUCUAAGCAUCAGGUAACAUCAAAUCGUACCCCAAACCGACACAGGUGGUCAGGUAGAGAAUACCAAGGCGCUUGAGAGAACUCGGGUGAAGGAACUAGGCAAAAUGGUGCCGUAACUUCGGGAGAAGGCACGCUGACACGUAGGUGAAGUGAUUUACUCAUGGAGCUGAAGUCAGUCGAAGAUACCAGCUGGCUGCAACUGUUUAUUAAAAACACAGCACUGUGCAAACACGAAAGUGGACGUAUACGGUGUGACGCCUGCCCGGUGCCGGAAGGUUAAUUGAUGGGGUCAGCGCAAGCGAAGCUCCUGAUCGAAGCCCCGGUAAACGGCGGCCGUAACUAUAACGGUCCUAAGGUAGCGAAAUUCCUUGUCGGGUAAGUUCCGACCUGCACGAAUGGCGUAAUGAUGGCCAGGCUGUCUCCACCCGAGACUCAGUGAAAUUGAACUCGCUGUGAAGAUGCAGUGUACCCGCGGCAAGACGGAAAGACCCCGUGAACCUUUACUAUAGCUUGACACUGAACAUUGAGCCUUGAUGUGUAGGAUAGGUGGGAGGCUUUGAAGCGUGGACGCCAGUCUGCGUGGAGCCGACCUUGAAAUACCACCCUUUAAUGUUUGAUGUUCUAACGU